rnacentral:rRNA from 1 species
UUGGGAAUCUUGCGCAAUGGGCGAAAGCCUGACGCAGCGACGCCGCGUGGGGGACGAAGGCUCUUGGGUCGUAAACCCCUUUUGCCGGGGAAGAAGAUCUGACGGUACCCGGCGAAUAAGCCACGGCUAACUACGUGCCAGCAGCCGCGGUAAUACGUAGGUGGCAAGCGUUGUCCGGAUUUACUGGGCGUAAAGCGCGUGUAGGCGGCCUGUUAAGUCUGUCGUGAAAUCUCCCGGCUCAACCGGGAGGGGUCGACGGAUACUGGAUGGCUUGAGGUUGGGAGAGGGAUGCGGAAUUCCAGGUGUAGCGGUGAAAUGCGUAGAUAUCUGGAGGAACACCGGUGGCGAAGGCGACAUCCUGGACCAAUUCUGACGCUGAGGAGCGAAAGCCAGGGGAGCAAACGGGAUUAGAUACCCUAGUAGUCCCUGAGCGGGCUGGCAAGGCGCAU